AUUGAACGCUGGCGGCAGGCUUAACACAUACAAGUCGAGCGGGGUGAUGGUGCUUGCACUAUCACUUAGCGGCGGACGGGUGAGUAAUGCUUAGGAAUCUGCCUAUUAGUGGGGGACAACAUCUCGAAAGGGAUGCUAAUACCGCAUACGUCCUACGGGAGAAAGCAGGGGAUCACUUGUGACCUCGCGCUAAUAGAUGAGCCUAAGUCGGAUUAGCUAGUUGGUGGGGUAAAGGCCUACCAAGGCGACGAUCUGUAGCGGGUCUGAGAGGAUGAUCCGCCACACUGGGACUGAGACACGGCCCAGACUCCUACGGGAGGCAGCAGUGGGGAAUAUUGGACAAUGGGGGGAACCCUGAUCCAGCCAUGCCGCGUGUGUGAAGAAGGCCUUAUGGUUGUAAAGCACUUUAAGCGAGGAGGAGGCUCUUUUGGUUAAUACCCAAGAUGAGUGGACGUUACUCGCAGAAUAAGCACCGGCUAACUCUGUGCCAGCCGCCGCCGUAAUAC
rnacentral:rRNA from 1 species